AACGAACGCUGGCGGCAUGCCUAACACAUGCAAGUCGAACGAGAUCUUCGGGUCUAGUGGCGCACGGGUGCGUAACGCGUGGGAAUCUGCCCUUUGGUUCGGAAUAACAGUUGGAAACGACUGCUAAUACCGGAUGAUGGCGAAAGUCCAAAGAUUUAUCGCCAGAGGAUGAGCCCGCGUAGGAUCAGCUAGUUGGUGUGGUAAAGGCGCACCAAGGCGACGAUCCUUAGCUGGUCUGAGAGGAUGAUCAGCCACACUGGGACUGAGACACGGCCCAGACUCCUACGGGAGGCAGCAGUGGGGAAUAUUGGACAAUGGGCGAAAGCCUGAUCCAGCAAUGCCGCGUGAGUGAUGAAGGCCUUAAGGUUGUAAAGCUCUUUUACCCGGGAUGAUAAUGACAGUACCGGGAGAAUAAGCUCCGGCUAACUCCGUGCCAGCCGCCGCCGUAA
rnacentral:rRNA from 1 species